GAUGAACGCUGGCGGCGUGCCUAAUACAUGCAAGUCGAGCGAACAGAUAAGGAGCUUGCUCCUUUGACGUUAGCGGCGGACGGGUGAGUAACACGUGGAUAACCUACCUAUAAGACUGGGAUAACUUCGGGAAACCGGAGCUAAUACCGGAGAAUAUUUCGAACCGCAUGGUUCGAUAGUGAAUGAGGGUUUUGCUAUCACUUAUAGAUGGACCCGCGCCGUAUUAGCUAGUUGGUAAGGUAACGGCUUACCAAGGCGACGAUACGUAGCCGACCUGAGAGGGUGAUCGGCCACACUGGAACUGAGACACGGUCCAGACUCCUACGGGAGGCAGCAGUAGGGAAUCUUCCGCAAUGGGCGAAAGCCUGACGGAGCAACGCCGCGUGAGUGAUGAAGGUCUUCGGAUCGUAAAACUCUGUUAUUAGGGAAGAACAUACGUGUAAGUAACUGUGCACGUCUUGACGGUACCUAAUCAGAAAGCCACGGCUAACUACGUG
rnacentral:rRNA from 1 species